rnacentral:misc_RNA from 1 species
UGGUUUGGGCAUCGAUGAAGAACGCAGCGAAAUGCGAUAAGUAAUGCGAAUUGCAGAAUCCGUGAGUCAUCGAAUCUUUGAACGCGCAUUGCGCCCUCUGGUAUUCCGGAGGGCAUGCCUGUUCGAGCGUCAUUAUCACCCCUCAAGCCUCUGGUUUGGUGUUGGGCUUUAUCUGGACACGUACGUGUCGAGAGGCCUCAAAUAUAAUGACGGCGUCCCCGUGGGACUCGACGCACUGAGCUUUUUUAUGAGGCACGCGUCGCGGCACCCCGGGUCGACCCGGUCUCAAUCUUUAUGAAUUUUUACAAGGUUGACCUCGGAUCAGGUAGGGAUACCCGCUGA